GGGACCAUUCCACGGUUUCCGUGACGCAGCUAACGCACUAAAUUCCCCGCCGGUGGGGAACAGCCGCCAGGUUAAAACUCAAAGGAAAUGACGGGGACCCGCACAAGCGGGGGAGCCUGCGGAUUAAUUUAAUGCAAGCCGAAAAACCUUACCAAGGCUUGCCAUACCCCCGAACGGGCCCGAAAUGGUUAACUUUUUGGACCCUGGUGAACAGGUGGGCCAUGGUUGUCGUCAGCUCGUUUUGUGAAAUGUUGGGUUAAAUCCCGCAACGAGCCCACCCUUGUUUUUAGUUGCCCAGCACGAAAUGUUGGGAAUUCUGGGAUACUCCGGGGUCAAUUCGGAAGAAGGUGGGGAUGACGUCAAAUCAUCCUGCCCCUUAUGUUUUGGGCUUCACGCAUGCUACAAUGGCCGGUACAAAGGGCUGCAAUACCGUGAGGUGGAGCGAAUUCCAAAAAGCCGGUCCCAGUUCGGAUUGAGGUCUGCAACUCGACCUCAUGAAGUCGGAGUCGCUAGUAAUCGCAGAUCAGCAACGCUGCGGUGAAUACGUUCCCGGGUCUUGUACACACCGCCCGUCAAGUCAUGAAAGUCGGUAACACCUGAAGCCGGUGGCCCAACCCUUGUGGAGGGAGCC
rnacentral:rRNA from 1 species